UACGGAGGAUGCGAGCGUUAUCCGGAAUCAUUGGGUUUAAAGGGUGCGUAGGCUGGUAUUUAAGUCAGUGGUGAAAUUUUCGUGCUUAACAUGAGAGCUGCCAUUGAUACUGGGUACCUAGAGUGUAUUUGAUGUGGGCGGAAUGUGUUGUGUAGCGGUGAAAUGCUUAGAUAUGACACAGAACACCGAUAGCGAAGGCAGCUCACAAAGUUACAACUGACGCUGAGGCACGAAAGCGUGGGGAGCGAACAGG
rnacentral:rRNA from 1 species